rnacentral:rRNA from 1 species
AGUGGCGGACGGGUGAGUAACACGUAAGAAUUUGCCUUUAGGAGGGGGACAACAACUGGAAACGGUUGCUAAUACCCCAUAUGCUUUUAUUAGUGAAACGGAUUUUUCCGCCUAGAGAGAAGCUUGCGGCUGAUUAGCUUGUUGGUGAGGUAAUGGCUUACCAAGGCGACGAUCAGUAUCUGGUUUGAGAGGACGAUCAGACACACUGGAACUGAGACACGGUCCAGACUCCUACGGGAGGCAGCAGUGGGGAAUUUUCCGCAAUGGGCGAAAGCCUGACGGAGCAAUCUCGCGUGAGGGAUGACUGCCUAUGGGUUGUAAACCUCUUUUUUCAGGGAGGAACAAAAUGACGUGUACCUGAAGAAUAAGCAUCGGCUAACUCCGUGCCAGCAGCCGCGGUAAGACGGAGGAUGCAAGUGUUAUCCGGAAUCACUGGGCGUAAAGCGUCUGUAGGUGGUUUAAUAAGUCAACUGUUAAAUCUUGAAGCUCAACUUCAAAAUCGCAGUCGAAACUAUUAGACUAGAGUAUAGUAGGGGUAAAGGGAAUUUCCAGUGGAGCGGUGAAAUGCGUAGAGAUUGGAAAGAACACCGAUGGCGAAGGCACUUUACUGGGCUAUUACUGACACUCAGAGACGAAAGCUAGGGUAGCAAAUGGGAUUAGAUACCCCAGUAGUCCUAGCCGUAAACAAUGGAUACUAGAU